CCUACGGGAGGCAGCAGUAGGGAAUGUUGCGCAAUGGGCGAAAGCCUGACGCAGCAACGCCGCGUGAACGAGACGCCCUUCGGGGUGUAAAGUUCUGUCAGUGGGGACGAAAGAUGACGGUACCCACAGAGGAAGCACCGGCUAACGCCGUGCCAGCAGCCGCGGUAAUACGGAGGGUGCAAGCGUUGUCCGGAAUCAUUGGGCGUCAAGAGGUCGUAGGCGGUAUGUUAAGUCUGGUGUUAACUGCAGAAGCUCAACUUCUGUUCGGCACUGGAUACUGGCAAACUAGAAUGCGGUAGAGGUCACGGGACUUCCUGGUGUAGCGGUGCAAUGCUUCGAUAUCAGGCGGAACAUCGGUGGCGUACGCGCUUUACUGGACCGUAAUUGCCGCUGAGGCACUCCAGCCUGGGUAGCAAAUCGGAUUAGAUACCCCAGUAGUC
rnacentral:rRNA from 1 species